rnacentral:tRNA from 2 species
GCCACCGUAGCUCAAUGGCAGAGCAUUCGCUUCGUAAGCGAGAGGUUAAGGGUUCAACUCCCUUCGGUGGCU